CGGAGCUAACGCGUUAAAUCGACCGCCUGGGGAGUACGGCCGCAAGGUUAAAACUCAAAUGAAUUGACGGGGGCCCGCACAAGCGGUGGAGCAUGUGGUUUAUUUCGAUGCAACGCGAAGAACCUUACCUACUCUUGACAUCCAGAGAACUUUCCAGAGAUGGAUUGGUGCCUUCGGGAACUCUGAGACAGGUGCUGCAUGGCUGUCGUCAGCUCGUGUUGUGAAAUGUUGGGUUAAGUCCCGCAACGAGCGCAACCCUUAUCCUUUGUUGCCAGCGGUUCGGCCGGGAACUCAAAGGAGACUGCCAGUGAUAAACUGGAGGAAGGUGGGGAUGACGUCAAGUCAUCAUGGCCCUUACGAGUAGGGCUACACACGUGCUACAAUGGCAUAUACAAAGAGAAGCGACCUCGCGAGAGCAAGCGGACCUCAUAAAGUAUGUCGUAGUCCGGAUUGGAGUCUGCAACUCGACUCCAUGAAGUCGGAAUCGCUAGUAAUCGUAGAUCAGAAUGCUACGGUGAAUACGUUCCCGGGCCUUGUACACACCGCCCGUCACACCAUGGGAGUGGGUUGCAAAAGAAGUAGGUAGCUUAACCUUCGGGAGGGCGCUUACCACUUUGUGAUUCAUGACUGGGGUGAAGUCGUAACAAGGUAACCAAGGGCGAAUUCCAG
rnacentral:rRNA from 1 species